UACGUAGGGGGCAAGCGUUGUCCGGAAUUAUUGGGCGUAAAGAGCGUGUAGGCGGCCAGGUAGGUCUGCUGUGAAAACUCGAGGCUCAACCUCGAGACGUCGGCGGAAACCAUCUGGCUAGAGUCCGGAAGAGGAGAGUGGAAUUCCUGGUGUAGCGGUGAAAUGCGCAGAUAUCAGGAAGAACACCCGUGGCGAAGGCGGCUCUCUGGGACGGUACUGACGCUGAGGUGCGAAAGCGUGGGGAGCAAACAGG
rnacentral:rRNA from 1 species